CUACGGGGGGCACCAGUGGGGGAUAUUGCACAAUGGGCGAAAGCCUGAUGCAGCAACGCCGCGUGAAGGAAGACGGAUUUCGGUCUGUAAACUUCUAUCAGCUGGGAAGAAAAUGACGGUACCAGACUAAGAAGCCCCGGCUAACUACGUGCCAGCAGCCGCGGUAAUACGUAGGGGGCAAGCGUUAUCCGGAUUUACUGGGUGUAAAGGGUACGUAGGCGGUCGCUUAAGUCAGAUGUGAAAGCCCGAAGCUCAACUUCGGGACUGCAUUUGAAACUGGGUGACUAGAGUACAGGAGAGGAAAGCGGAAUUCCUAGUGUAGCGGUGGAAUGCGUAGAUAUUAGGAAGAACACCAGUGGCGAAGGCGGCUUUCUGGACUGUAACUGACGCUGAGGUACGAAAGCGUGGGGAGCGAACAGGAUUAGAUACCCGCGUAGUC
rnacentral:rRNA from 1 species